CCUACGGGUGGCAGCAGUGGGGAAUAUUGGACAAUGGGGGGAACCCUGAUCCAGCCAUGCCGCGUGUGUGAAGAAGGCCCUCGGGUUGUAAAGCACUUUCAGUGAGGAAGAACGCCUGGUGGUUAAUACCCAUCAGGAAAGACAUCACUCACAGAAGAAGCACCGGCUAACUCCGUGCCAGCAGCCGCGGUAAUACGGAGGGUGCGAGCGUUAAUCGGAAUUACUGGGCGUAAAGCGCGCGUAGGUGGCUUGAUAAGCCGGUUGUGAAAGCCCCGGGCUCAACCUGGGAACGGCAUCCGGAACUGUCAAGCUAGAGUGCAGGAGAGGAAGGUAGAAUUCCCGGUGUAGCGGUGAAAUGCGUAGAGAUCGGGAGGAAUACCAGUGGCGAAGGCGGCCUUCUGGACUGCCACUGACACUGAGGUGCGAAAGCGUGGGUAGCAAACAGGAUUAGAUACCCUUGUAGUC
rnacentral:rRNA from 1 species